CACACACCACAUCCACUGCGGGGUUGCUCUAGUAGAAUAUAUAAGGAGAUGAGAUUACCUUUUUAUUUAUUUUAUUUAGUUUUUUUAAAGAUGAGAGGACACCAUCUCUAACUUUGUUAAUAUAAAUAAAAAUAUACACGUAUUCAUUUAGGCAGGCUCCACAAAAAAACAACCGACCUCAACCAUGCGACAACCACAAAUACGACACCAACAAGAAAACAAUACAAAACAACUUAAAGCCAACAACAAACCAUCCAAACAUGUCAAACCAAAUUUAAGCAGAGCUGCCUUGAGUCAAACAGCUACAGCUACCAAAACAGGCCUUCCGCUGCUCUAUAUCCAAUAACGCCCGCAGCCCACUGCUGUUAUCGAUCCGGCUCUACAUCAAUCGCCACAACCUCAUUAUCUACAACGGACGACUGCGCAGAUCUGUAAUAGGUCCGAAGGAGAACCAACUCUAGCAGAAUGACAAACACAACAUUCUACAAAGACCAAUUGCCACGGAGAUCUUUAUUUCCACCCACAGAAACCAUAUGCUUCAGUGUGGUGAUCAUUUCCUUUAUCUUACAUAAUCAAUCUGUGAGAAUUUUUAAGCUGCUUUCAAUGUGAAUGUUGUUCAUUUCGGAAUCCAUUUAUUAUAGCAUCUCUACCGUAACUUCAGUGAAAUGUUAAAAUCAUUCACUCUAUGGAAUUUCUGCUAACACCUCCACGCCGCUUUCCUUUGGAUUUCCUCUCAAUGAUCCAUCCACAUUUAGUUUAACCCAUUUCAACUCUGGCUUAUACCAUGUAGAUAUCACCAAGCUAUUCUCAAGCUUUGGAUUCAUCUGCACACCCGUUGCCUUGAAAGCAAUUGCAUCAGAGAAAAGAUUCUCCUUGACUGGGGAGAUCGUCUCACCUAUUUUCCUCAUCCAUAUGUAUACCUCACUUAUGGGAGCUGCGGUAUUAGCUAGCUUUCAAACUUAUAUUGGUUUUUUGGGGGGGUAAAUUACAUGGGCUUAAAACCUACAUGCCGAAGCUAAAGCAGUAGUGGACGGGCUGUAUUUAUGUUUGGAGCAUGGGUUCGGUAGAGUAGAAGUGGAAAGUGACUUGUUAGCGGUGGUGGCCUUGUAAUCCAAUGAAGGUCGAGUCCCGUGGAAUAUCUAGUACCACUGGAAGAAACGUUUUGAUUCUAUUCAGGGCGUUGCCCACGUCUCGAUUGAGCAUAUUUCGAGUGAGGCCAAUAGCGUGGCGGACUGCAUGGCUCACUUGGGUAGCACCUCUCAGUCGGCAACGGAAUUUCCUGCGGUUCGGGCCCUUCCUCUUCUUAUCGAAGGAGCGCUUGUCCUAGACCGGUCGGUCUUGGGGUUCUUAGGGAGAGAUAAUCACAGGUUUGAGGUUUACGAUAGGCUAGCUCAGCGUCCUUUUUGUGUCUGCCCGAAUGAAUUGCAUCUGUAUAGUUGCCUCAAAGAUUCAAUAAAAUCUCUCUUUUAUUUUUAA